ACGCUAGCUACAGGCUUAACACAUGCAAGUCGAGGGGAAACGGCAUUAAGUGCUUGCACUUUUUGGACGUCGACCGGCGCACGGGUGAGUAACGCGUAUCCAACCUUCCCAUGACUAAGGGAUAACCUGCCGAAAGGCAGACUAAUACCUUAUGGUCUUCACUGACGGCAUCAGAUGUGAAGUAAAGAUUUAUCGGUUAUGGAUGGGGAUGCGUCUGAUUAGCUUGUUGGCGGGGUAACGGCCCACCAAGGCAACGAUCAGUAGGGGUUCUGAGAGGAAGGUCCCCCACAUUGGAACUGAGACACGGUCCAAACUCCUACGGGAGGCAGCAGUGAGGAAUAUUGGUCAAUGGGCGAGAGCCUGAACCAGCCAAGUAGCGUGCGGGAAGACGGCCCUAUGGGUUGUAAACUGCUUUUGUAUGGGGAUAAAGUCAAUCACGUGUGAUUGUUUGCAGGUACCAUACGAAUAAGGACCGGCUAAUUCCGUGCCAGCAGCCGCGGUAAUACGGAAGGUCCGGGCGUUAUCCGGAUUUAUUGGGUUUAAAGGGAGCGUAGGCUGGAGAUUAAGUGUGUUGUGAAAUGUAGACGCUCAACGUCUGACUUGCAGCGCAUACUGGUUUCCUUGAGUACGCACAACGUUGGCGGAAUUCGUCGUGUAGCGGUGAAAUGCUUAGAUAUGACGAAGAACUCCGAUUGCGAAGGCAGCUGACGGGAGCGCAACUGACGCUGAAGCUCGAAGGUGCGGGUAUCGAACAGGAUUAGAUACCCUGGUAGUCCGCACAGUAAACGAUGGAUGCCCGCUGUUGGUACGUGGUAUCAGCGGCUAAGCGAAAGCAUUAAGCAUCCCACCUGGGGAGUACGCCGGCAACGGUGAAACUCAAAGGAAUUGACGGGGGCCCGCACAAGCG
rnacentral:rRNA from 1 species